UGGGGAAUAUUGCACAAUGGGCGAAAGCCUGAUGCAGCGACGCCGCGUGAGGGAUGACGGCCUUCGGGUUGUAAACCUCUUUCAGCAGGGACGAAGCGCAAGUGACGGUACCUGCAGAAGAAGCACCGGCUAACUACGUGCCAGCAGCCGCGGUAAUACGUAGGGUGCAAGCGUUGUCCGGAAUUACUGGGCGUAAAGAGUUCGUAGGCGGUUUGCCGCGUCGUUUGUGAAAACCAGCAGCUCAACUGCUGGCUUGCAGGCGAUACGGGCAGACGUGAGUACUGCAGGGGAGACUGGAAUUCCUGGUGUAGCGGUGAAAUGCGCAGAUAUCGGGAGGAACACCGGUGGCGAAGGCGGGUCUCUGGGCAGUAACUGACGCUGAGGAACGAAAGCGUGGGUAGCGAACAGG
rnacentral:rRNA from 1 species